rnacentral:rRNA from 1 species
AUGAACGCUGGCGGCGUGCUUAACACAUGCCAGUCGAACGGUGAUGCUCCAGCUUGCUGGAGUGGAUCAGUGGCGAACGGGUGAGUAACACGUGAGCAACCUGCCCCAGACUCUGGAAUAAGCGCUGGAAACGGCGUCUAAUACUGGAUACGAAACUGGCCCGCAUGGGCAUGGUUUGGAAAGUUUUUCGGUUUGGGAUGGGCUCGCGGCCUAUCAGCUUGUUGGUGAGGUAAUGGCUCACCAAGGCGACGACGGGUAGCCGGCCUGAGAGGGCGACCGGCCACACUGGGACUGAGACACGGCCCAGACUCCUACGGGAGGCAGCAGUGGGGAAUAUUGCACAAUGGGCGAAAGCCUGAUGCAGCGACGCCGCGUGAGGGAUGACGGCCUUCGGGUUGUAAACCUCUUUCAGCAGGGAAGAAGCGAAAGUGACGGUACCUGCAGAAGAAGCACCGGCUAACUACGUG